GGGUAACCUGCCCAUCAGAAGGGGAUAACACUUGGAAACAGGUGCUAAUACCGUAUAACACUAUUUUCCGCAUGGAAGAAAGUUGAAAGGCGCUUUUGCGUCACUGAUGGAUGGACCCGCGGUGCAUUAGCUAGUUGGUGAGGUAACGGCUCACCAAGGCAACGAUGCAUAGCCGACCUGAGAGGGUGAUCGGCCACACUGGGACUGAGACACGGCCCAGACUCCUACGGGAGGCAGCAGUAGGGAAUCUUCGGCAAUGGACGAAAGUCUGACCGAGCAACGCCGCGUGAGUGAAGAAGGUUUUCGGAUCGUAAAACUCUGUUGUUAGAGAAGAACAAGGAUGAGAGUAGAACGUUCAUCCCUUGACGGUAUCUAACCAGAAAGCCGCGGCUAACUACGUGCCAGCAGCCGCGGUAAUACGUAGGUGGCAAGCGUUGUCCGGAUUUAUUGGGCGUAAAGCGAGCGCAGGCGGUUUCUUAAGUCUGAUGUGAAAGCCCCCGGCUCAACCGGGGAGGGUCAUUGGAAACUGGGAGACUUGAGUGCAGAAGAGGAGAGUGGAAUUCCAUGU
rnacentral:rRNA from 1 species